UUUGCUUUAGAGUGCUGCAGUUUUAUUCAAGUGUAGUAUCUGUUCUUAUCAGUUUAAUAUCUGAUACAUCCUCGAUGAGAGGGCUUAAUUUUAUUUACAAACAGAAGCACAGGAAGUUCU
rnacentral:snRNA from 1 species